rnacentral:rRNA from 1 species
GCCAGACUCCUACGGGAGGCAGCAGUGGGGAAUAUUGGGCAAUGGAGGCAACUCUGACCCAGCAACGCCGCGUGAAUGAUGAAGGUCUUCGGAUUGUAAAGUUCUUUUCUAAGGGAAGAAGAAAGUGACGGUACCUUAGGAAUAAGCCUCGGCUAACUACGUGCCAGCAGCCGCGGUAAUACGUAGGAGGCAAGCGUUAUCCGGAAUGACUGGGCGUAAAGGGUGCGUAGGUGGUUUGACAAGUUGGUAGCGCAACUCCGGGGCUCAACCUCGGCACUACUACCAAAACUGUUGAACUUGAGUGCAGGAGGGGCAAAUGGAAUUCCUAGUGUAGCGGUGAAAUGCGUAGAUAUUAGGAGGAACACCAGUGGCGAAGGCGGCUUGCUGGACGAUGACUGACGUUGAGGCUCGAAAGCGUGGGGAGCAAACAGGAUUAGAUACCCCAGUAA